GCCGGGUGUGGUGGUGUGCACCUGUAGUCCCAGCUACUUGGGAGGUUGAGGUGGGAUGAUUGCUCGAACCCAGGAGGUCUAGGCUGUAGUGAGCCGAGAUUACACUACUACACUCCAGCCUGGGGGACAGAGCAAAAUCCUGUCUUCA
ensembl:misc_RNA Metazoa_SRP Metazoan signal recognition particle RNA